GUGUCAGCCGCCGCGGUAAUACGGAGGGAGCGAGCGUUGUUCGGAAUUACUGGGCGUAAAGCGUAUGUAGGCGGCUUUGUAAGACAGGUGUGAAAUCCCGGGGCUUAACCCCGGAACUGCAUUUGUGACUGCAUGGCUCGAGUAUCGGAGAGGUUGGCGGAAUUCCCAGUGUAGCAGUGAAAUGCGCAGAUAUUGGGAGGAACACCGAUGGCGUAAGCAGCCAACUGGACGAUUACUGACGCUGAGAUACGAAAGUAUGGGGAGCAAACAGGAUUAGAAACCCGCGUAGUCC
rnacentral:rRNA from 1 species